rnacentral:rRNA from 1 species
GUAGUCUCGCACAGAUGCAUAUCAAUAAGCGGAGGAAAAGAAACUAACAAGGAUUCCCCUAGUAACGGCGAGUGAAGCGGGAAGAGCUCAAAUUUGAAAUCUUAAAGGGUUUCCCUUUACGAAUUGUAGUUUAAAGAAGUGUUUUCUGUUGAGGUUUUGGUAAAAGUUCUUUGGAAUAGGACAUCAUAGAGGGUGAGAAUCCCGUAUUUGACCUUUACUUUCAACUUUGUGAUACACUUUCAAAGAGUCGGAUUGUUUGGGAAUGCAGUCCAAAAUGGGUGGUAAAUUUCAUCUAAAGCUAAAUAUUGGCGAGAGACCGAUAGCGAACAAGUACCGUGAGGGAAAGAUGAAAAGAACUUCGAAAAGAGAGUUAAACAGUACGUGAAAUUGUCAAAAGGGAAGCGUUUGACACCAGUGUUGUUUUUCUGAAAAUCAAUUAAAGAACUGUUUAUGCUAAGCUUGUUUAGACUUUUAUCAGCUAACUGUUUAGUUUUGAGCUUUUCUUUAAUGCACUUUUCAGUUAACAAGUCAACAUCAAUUUCUUUUGCUGUAAAAAAGCUUGAGGAAGGUGGCUUGAGAUUCGUCUUAAGUGUUUAUAGCCUCUUGCCUAUGCAGUCGGAGAGAUUGAGGUCUGCAGCGUAGAUCCUUCGGGGCUAAAUGCAUUUGUGCUAAGUUAUAGCAUUUUAUAGACAACUUGUUGACUAUGAUUUGUCUUGUAGCUUACUCGCUUAUGUUAUUUUACCUACGCUUAGGAUGUUGAUCUGUAGUGCGUGCGC